CACAAGUGUGUGAAUGUGUGACUUCCUGUCCUGGGUGAGGAAUGCUGAAGGACUUUGAGCCUCUCCACCUUAAUGCACUGCAGAGUUCGAAGCAGGUGCGAGGGCACAGGACUGGCUUCCAAGGACGGAAGAGGCUUCGGGUGCUCAGACCUGACAACGAGGGGCUGUCACUCACAUUUGGGAAUGGCGGAUCGGGCUGGGAUGCCUCCUUCCUCUUCGGCUGGGCUCAUUUCCUGCAGUGCUUUCUUUGCUGCCCUGGGAAAUCGUUCUGGGAUGCCUCCUUUUGCUGAUUUCUGUCUCUUUCAAAUCUCAAACUUCAAGAGUCUCCCAGCUGGCACCACGUUUAACUCUGAGAGUCACUCUCUAGUUUGGCACUUUGGGUGAGGGGCACUUGGCCAGGACUGACACACGACACCCGGAACACUUCACACUCACGCCAUGUGCCUGCAACUGCGCCUUCAGAAAUUCUCAGCGACUUCAUUUGCUUUUGGGGCUAAUCCUGCCCGGCACGGAGACCUGAUACUCUUGUGACACCGAGGAGCAAUCGGAAGUAGCAGCUGAUUUACCCAACGGUGAUGGGGAAAUUGAUGACACAACUCUAUUCAGAUACGCAAAAUGCUUCCAUGGUUUUCAAGGAGAGGAAAACAAAGCCUGGGAGACAGGAAGACAGCUGCUGAUGCCGCAUGUCCCUCUGUGUCGGACAUUUAGCUCAUCCGCAGCAUCUUUUUCCUUUUUCUCUCCUAAGGACGUGGACACGUGUCCUAGCCAUAGAGAGGAACACCUUACAGACGAGCAUGGCCUUCCAGACUGCCUGCCCUGCCCUGCCCUGCUCUCGCCCGUCGAGAGUACUGAAGCACCCUGCCUUCUACCUUCUAGCCUGGGCGCACCCGUCCUCAGUCCGAUGCCGGGAAGGAUGCCGGUUCGAUGGCCACCUUCCUCCCUGGACCUAAGUCCUCUGAGGUCAAGCUGUCUCCACCAGUCACUGCAGGACACCUGUGGCCACAUGAGGCCCGGCUCAGGAAGUCUCCCAGUACUAACUUGUGGAAAAAGUGAACACUUUAGAAAACUGGGCCUGGAACGUGACAGGGACCCGGAGGCUACCGCUGUGUCUAAACUGCUCAUGCCGAGGGACACCGCAAGCUCAAGCUGCUGGCCGAACGGCCGUCCAAACACCCCAGGCAGGAACCGUGCUUCUCUCUCUCUGCAUUUUACCAGGAGGAAAGUGGGAAGCCCGAAAAAUGGGCUGAACUGGAGACAUUUUGUACAAACUGAUGAUAGGUACCUCAGUAGUAAAAAAUAGCAAUUGUAGCAAAGGAUCCACAGAAGUGAAGACCCCCAACGUUAGGUCACAUUAGUGCAAUCAUGAGGGUGGGAAAAUAAUUCCAACAAGCCCAGAACUGAGGGAAGUGUUCAAAAUGUUCACUGGCUCAGCCCUGACCCCAAGGCAUAUACCUACAUGCCCAGAAAAUAGAAGCAUGAUACAUGUUUUCAGUCACCAAGAAAUUUACAAUCUAGUAAGGCCUUAAUGUUAAAAUCAAUUAUGUGAUUUGAGAACAAUUAAAUAUUAACCUACUGGCCCUGACUACUAAUGUUGGAAAGGAUUGCACUGUAUGGCAGCAGUUGACUUUAGGAUAAUAUUUACAUGACAAGAAAGGAAAAAAGAAGAUUUGUACAGAUAUAAGAAUGACUAAACCAGGGAAAACUGCUGUAGAGAAAUAAAACAACCUGCACGAGAGCAGAAUUACAGGGCCUUAAAUGUCAGAUGGAGGAAUUGUGGCUUGAUAGAGUAGGCCACAGGGCAUCAUUCAUUAAAGUAAUGGCAGUUUAUGAAAAUCAGCCGUAGAGUAACCCAUAGGUUGGACUAGACUGGCAGGAGGGCAAGAGGGGAAGAGGAGCUGGCCUAGAGGUUGUGGUCUUGUUAGGAAUGAAGAAAACAGGAUGUGGCCCUCAUUAGGAAUGGAGAGAGGGUGGCGUCAAGAAACAUUUUGAGAAAAAUAGCCCCUGGUGAGUGAGAUGGAAUGGACAGGACACUGGGAAUAGUUUUAAAGUGGUGCUAAAGUUUUUACCCCGAGAAACACCCAGACUCAUGACAUCACUAAUAGCGACUGGUUAAUUAAGGAAAGGAAUCACUUGGUAGGUGGGAGAGGUAACGGGC
ensembl:lncRNA